AGGGAUUUAGCUCAGUGGCAUGAGCACCUGCCUGGCAAGCAGAAUGUUGUGAGUUCAAUCCUCG
rnacentral:tRNA from 1 species